GACGAACCGAGCGAACGUUGUUCGGAAUCACUGGGCUUAAAGGGCGAGUAGGCGGCUCUUCAAGUCGGGGGUGAAAUCCCACAGCUUAACUGUGGAAGUGCCUUCGAUACUGAGGAGCUCGAGCGAGGUAGGGGCCGAGGGAACUUCUGGUGGAGCGGUGGAAUGCGCAGAUAUCAGGAGGAACACCGGUGGCGAAGGCGGGUCUCUGGGCCGAUACUGACGCUGAGGAGCGAAAGCGUGGGGAGCGAACAGG
rnacentral:rRNA from 1 species